rnacentral:rRNA from 1 species
GAUGAACACUAGCGACAGGCCUAACACAUGCAAGUCGAGGGGCAGCACAUGUGUAGCAAUACAAUGGUGGCGACCGGCGCACGGGUGAGUAACACGUAUGCAACCUACCUGUAAGAGGGGAAUAACCCGGAGAAAUUCGGACUAACACCGCAUAAUACCUCGAAGCUGCAUGGCUUUGAGGUUAAAUAUUUAUAGCUUACAGAUGGGCAUGCGUAACAUUAGAUAGUUGGUGAGGUAACGGCUCACCAAGUCAACGAUGUUUAGGGGUUCUGAGAGGAAGGUCCCCCACACUGGUACGGAGACACGGACCAGACUCCUACGGGAGGCAGCAGUGAGGAAUAUUGGUCAAUGGGCGAGAGCCUGAACCAGCCAAGUCGCGUGAAGGAAGAAGGUUCUAUGGAUUGUAAACUUCUUUUGUAAGGGAAUAAAAAAGCUUACGUGUAGGCUAUUGUAUGUACUUUACGAAUAAGGAUCGGCUAACUCCGUGCCAGCCGCCGCCGGAAUAC